rnacentral:tRNA from 1 species
GGAUAGUCUAGUCUAGUGGUUAGGGUGUUUGACUCCCAGCUGAAAGGCUCUGGGUUCGAACCCCAGUGUCUGUCCG